GAUGAACGCUGGCGGCGUGCCUAAUACAUGCAAGUCGAGCGAACAGACGAGGAGCUUGCUCCUCUGACGUUAGCGGCGGACGGGUGAGUAACACGUGGAUAACCUACCUAUAAGACUGGGAUAACUUCGGGAAACCGGAGCUAAUACCGGAUAAUAUAUUGAACCGCAUGGUUCAAUAGUGAAAGACGGUUUUGCUGUCACUUAUAGAUGGAUCCGCGCCGCAUUAGCUAGUUGGUAAGGUAACGGCUUACCAAGGCAACGAUGCGUAGCCGACCUGAGAGGGGGAGCGGCCACACUGGAACUGGGACGCGGUCCAGACUCCUACGGGAGGCAGCAGUAGGGAAUCUUCCGCAAUGGGCGAAAGCCUGACGGAGCAACGCCGCGUGAGUGAUGAAGGUCUUCGGAUCGUAAAACUCUGUUAUGAGGGAAGAACAAAUGUGUAAGUAACUAUGCACGUCUUGACGGUACCUAAUCAGAAAGCCACGGCUAACUACGUG
rnacentral:rRNA from 1 species